UUCACUCCCCACCCCCAUCCCUCAGCAUCUGAGCUCUACCUGAGGGUGUCAAGUCACCUCUGUGAGCCUUGGUUUCCCCAUCUGUGAGCAGGUGGAUCUGAGUUCCAAGGUUCCUUCCAGCCAUCUGUGUGAGACACCCCCACACGGUGUCCAGUAACAGCAGGUGCAUAAUAAAUGUGUUUGUGGACCUACCCUCCCCAGUGCUGGGCACAAGGGCACACAGAGGAGAAAUAUGAGUAAAUGUCGCCUUUGUCCAGGAAAUGGGGACCCAGACCGCUGGACACACACCGGACAACAGCCGGCCCUCACAUUUGUGCUGGAUGGUACCGUCUACAAAGGGAUUUUGCUGCGUGUGCUGCUCCCUGUGAUUCUCAUGGAGGAAACUCCACAUCUCAGGCUGAGCACAGUCCUUUGCUGAGAUUUGAUGGGGGGGAAACACGAUCAUUGAUGCAACCCCCACCAUGAGCUGCUGCAAAGCCCUGGCAGAAAGAUGAGAUUGGCCUCAGAGCAACGUGGGGCUGCCCGGCCGCGGCCACUCCCUGAGCCUGGUGGGUAUACCUUAAUUUUAUUGAUGCAUCUUGUUUUGAGAGCCUCUCCUGCCCUCUGGGCUGCCCCCACCCUCACCCCCCACCCCCACUCCCACCCCCACCCCCCUGUUUGGCUAAUGAUAAGUGACAAGCAGUGGACAUUAUAAAUUAAACUGCCCCCGAUAGCCGGUGGUAAAACAGAAGGCCUCACGCAGAGGAGGCAUUCAAAGCAUUUGUGCCGUGUGCCCCCCACCCCCCACCUCCCCACUCUCCCCACUCUCCCCACCCCUGCUCAGGGCACAGGCCCCAGGCCCCAGCUGCCGAAGCCUCUCACAACAGACCUUCCGGUCUCUCUGGGCUCCGCUCUGUCAAAUGGAAAUCAGCAACACAGGCCACAGAGUAAUUAAACCGCUGGCAUUCUUUUGACAAAAAAUAUUUCUCUUGGGAUAUUCCCACAGGCCACUGAAGGACUGUCUGGGGCCUGCAAGCUCCCAGCUGAAUAUCAAGGGAGUUUUGAAAUUGGCCUUGACUCGGGAUCAAAAGGGGAUGGGAGUUCGGGGUGUGAAUAUGGGGGUGGGAAAUGCAUUAUAAUUAAAUUUAUCAUUUGGUCUUUCAGCUUGAAGCACCAACACCUGCUUCCCCAGGACAAAUAUGGACAGAGAAUAAAGAGAGACCUUCGAGGCCUGUUUAUUUAUAUUUCUAUUGUUUGUUCACUGAUGUGUCUGUAGCACCUAAACGGAGCCUGGCAAAUAGUAUAUGUUCGAUAAAUAUUUAUUGACUCAUCAGCUGGAGAUGUGUUGAUAUUUUUUUUUAUUUUUGUUGUUAUUGGUUUUAUAGCAGCACCUGCCACAUAUAGAAGUUCCCAGGGUAGGGGUUGAAUGGGAGCUUCAGCUGCCAGUCUCGGCCUCAGCCACAGCAACACUAGAUCCUUAACCCACUGAGCGAGGCCUGGUAUCAAACCUGCAUCCUCACAGAGACGAUGUUGGGUUCUUAACCUGCUGAGCCACAGCAGGAACUCCAUGAAAUCAGUUUUUCUUUUUUUUUUAGGGCUGUACCUGCGGCAUAUGGAAGUUCCCAGGCUAGGGGUCCAGUUGGAGCUACAGCUGCCAGCCUACACCACAGCCAUGGCAACACGGGAUCCUUAACCCACUGAGCAAGACCAGGGAUCGAACCCAAAUCUUCAUGAACACUUGUUGGGUUCUUAACCCACUAAGCCUAAUGAGAACUCCUUAUCCUGGUGUUCUGAUGCACAGCAGCGCCCAUACCCCAGCGUUUGGGGACCACUGCCUCAGCGCAUCCGCUCUUGUGCCCUCUGCAGACAGAAAAGAAAACUGAAGCCACAGAAGGUAUCAUUGCAAAGGCUCAAGGCUUUCUUCCCCUGGAGAGGGCAGAGGGGAAGGCCUGGCAUAGACAUUCAGCCUUGGCCUCUGGCCCCUAAACUCCAGCUUUUUCAGAUUCCCAGGGAAAUCCUGUCUUUCUCUUCUCAUUCAAGGGGGAAGCACAAAGUCAUGGGCAGGGACUCAGAAUGGCUGGGUGUGAAGCCCAGCUCGGCCACCCGCUAGCAGUGGGACCCAGCAGCUCUAGAAAAAUAAUCGGCAGACUGCUUAGAAAAUAUAUAGCCUGAGGAGUUCCCGUCGUAGCGCAGUGGUUAACGAAUCCGACUAGGAACCAUGAGGUUGCGGGUUCGGUCCUUGCCCUUGCUCAGUGGGUUAACGAUCCAGCGUUGCCGUGAGCUGUGGUGUAGGUUGCAGACGUGGCUCGGAUCCCGCGUUGCUGUGGCUCUGGCGUAGGCCGGUAGCUACAGCUCCGAUUGGACCCCUAGCCUGGGAACCUCCAUAUGCCGCAGGAGCGGCCCAAAGAAAUAGCAAAAAGACAAAAAAAAAAAAAAAAAAAGAAAGAAAAUAUAUAGCCUGAGAUGAAGUUUUUAUAAAGCCCUUAGCUCAAAAGACAGGGGAAACUGGGACACCAAAAGAAGCAAACAGGUGAUUAGGCAAAGAAAUCAUUAGAUAAAUCAGUUCCAGGUUAAUGGUUCCCCUCCCUCCAUGAUAUUGGGCACGUAACUUGUCCGUUCCAAACCCCGGCUUCUCCACCUGUAAACUGAGGCCAAUAAAACCCAUUUCACAGGAUUGUCGUUAAAGACAUUGCAAGACGGCGGGAGCUACGUGCCAGGUAAACAGUCAAUAAAUUCGACCUCCCUCCCUUCCUGAGCAUUCGGACCACACAGAGGCCUCCCCUGCUCUUGGCUUUGGCUUUGAGGAGCCUGUGGUCGUGGAGAGGAUUUCACACUGGAAGUACGUGCAUUCCAAAUU
rnacentral:lncRNA from 1 species